GACGAACGCUGGCGGCGUGCUUAACACAUGCAAGUCGAACGAUGAAGCAGAGAAACGCGAACUUCGGUUCAAGUUUCACUUCGGAUUAGUGGCAGACGGGUGAGUAACGCGUGAGCAAACUACCUCUUACAAAGGGAUAGCCUAGGGAAACCGUGAUUCAUACCAUUUGACACAUUCAUAAGGCAUCUUCAGAUUGUUAAAGCUACGUCGGUAAGAGAUGGGCUCGUGUCGCAUUGGCUUGGUGGUGAGGUAACGGCCCACCAAUGCGACGAAGGGUGACCGGGCUGGGAGGGGGAACGGUUAGAUUGGAACUGAGACACAGUCCAAUCUCCGACGGAAGGCAGCAGUGGAGAAUAUUGUGCGAGGAAGGGAGAUCUAAUGCAGCGGCGCCGCGGGUGAGAGGAAGGGAUUCGUAACGUAAAGCUCUGUGUUAUGGAAAGAAAAUGACGGUACCAGAGGAGAAAGCCCCGGCUAAAUACGUG
rnacentral:rRNA from 1 species